GCUCGUUUGGAUCAUUUUAAGAAGUUUAUAGAACUUGCCUCCCUUGUGGUAUUAUUCAUGUGAUUCAUCUUAUUUCUCUGGUUUUCUGCAUGUUAUCUUCUACUUUCAACUCGUUUCUUCAUACUCUGUCUUCCUCUACCACCUAGCUACUGAGUACUUUGUUUUUUUCUCAUUCAUAACUUGAGUUUGUGCAGCCUCUAUAGGCAUGGUCUCUACUCAGCCUCAUCUUUCUGCACAUAUCUGUUUCCAUUCUUGGUCUCCAUACUGCCCAGUUGUCAUUAAAUUGAGAAUCCGAUUGCCUGUGGAUUAAGUUUCCUCAGACUACAGGUGUAGCAUUUGUUAUUUGGCAGUCUAGGACAUUUCCCUCUAUUGAUUGCCAUGUGGAAAUGGUUUCCUUUCCCUUUUUGUAAUCCCAAAGUGCUUUAGACUAACUUAACUUACCUAUCACAGGUAUAUCCAGAGUCACUUAAUUGCUCUAAAACCAGAAGGCAACCCAGUUGUGGGACAUCCAAAAGUACCAUACAUACCUAACUAUUUUUGGAACCUGAAGUCUCACAAAUGAAUACAUGACCCUGCUUUCUCUAUAUCCUUUGAGUAUCUUCCUGCUGCUAUCUGGCUUCCUCAUCCUCUGUUCUUUAUCCUAUUUCUGAUGGAUAGUUUCUGCUAAUUUUUAGCUUCUUAUUUUUGGGUUUACCAGUUGAUCUUACUUAAAUCCUUCAUGAUUCUUAACAUAGGCUGUGGUAUAUUCUUUGAUCACAUAUCCAUUCAUUUCAGCUGCAGAGUAAUUUUACUCCUCUCUUUUUCCUCAGUUGUAAGUUAAACCUAAUUUUCUCACCUCGUUGUUUGGGGACAGCUUUCAUAUAGUAAAUCAUAGGCUGAUGACUGGCUUGUGGAUGUCUGUCCUUGGUUCUGAUUCUUACCCUUGAUCUGAAUAGCCAUGGAUUCAGAGGAGGGAUAAUUGGUGGCAAGAAUGUUUUCUUGGCUAGACUUGUUUGCAGUACAGUUUCCUUUAGAAGAAUUUUGAGCAUGGGUGACACUAUGACGUAUCUGCUUUAUUCUGUCCACUUUAGCUCCCUAAUGCUGCUUCUUUGCAGCAUCUACCAAGUCUCUCAACCUCUCACCUUCUAAAUUGAAUAUAAAAUGUAAAUUCCAUGCCACAAGCUGGUUUGCACAGCAUCUUUAAAACAAGGGGUUUUCCACAAGAUCACAGUCAGUUCCCUAAAUUGCAUUCCCCAUGAGGGGCUAUUCUGCUUCUUACUAUUGAUUAGGCACUUCUGAUUGCUAGAAACAGAUUCCACAAUGAUCUAAUGACAAGUUAUUGUUUGGCUUGUGGGAAAAUAAUGGUGACUGGAAUCACAUGACAUUCCAAAUAUAGGGGAACUUUAAUAUGGUUAUGGCUUUUAGGGAAUGGGACCUGGGUCCAGAGAAGCUCUGGGAAACUCAGCAGCAAGAGUUUGUGGUUCUUCAUGUUAGGAUUGUGCCGUUUAUGUAACUGAGCUACUCUGUCUUAACUUUUGUGUCUUAUUUCUCUUACUGCCUGUUGGCCUGGCCUGUCCAUUUUGUUUUAUCUUUUUUUUUCCCUCCUCAUAUUUUUAGCUUAUUCAUAGGUUCUGCUUACUUAGGGCUUCACCUUUGCCGUAAGUUUUGCUUCCUUGUGGCCUUUGUGGCCUCACCUCUGCAUUAUAUUGGCUUGCUAUGUAUUCUUUCAGCUUCAGUUCCCUUUGCUAGCUAUGAUUACUGCUUUUUUGUGUGUUUGUGUGUCUCUUUAGGGCUGCACCUUUGACAUAUGGAGGUUCCCAGGCUAGGAGUCAAAUUGGUGCUACAGCUGCCAGCCUGUGCCACAGCACCACACCAGAUCCUUAACCCACUGAGCAAGGCCAGGGAUCGAACCCACAACCUCAUGGUUCUUAAUCUGAUUCAUUAACCACUGAGCCUCAACAGGAACUCCUGAUUUUUUUUUUCUUAAUGAAAAUAUACCAUGUUGGAAAAAAGUUAAUUUAGUUGAUAGGUUAACAAUGAGAGAUUGUUACUGUUCAAUUGAUAUAGCAACUCUCUGACACCACCUGGCCAUCAUGCAAUUCAAUUCAAUUCUGAUGCUAACGACCCUAAGUUAAUGCCAGACCCCACAAGUUGAGGGCAGUGUUUUCCUGAAGACUGCCUUCCCUUUAGUAAGUCUUAGGACAGCUCAUUCCUCAGCUAAGUUCAAGGGUUCUUAUGACCAUCUCAGGUUUGUUAAUUUGCGAGAAUAACUUCCAGAACUCCCUGAAAGUGAUAUAUGUACAGUUAGCUUUAUUAUAAAGGAUAAAACUCAGGAACAGCCAAAUGAAAAAGAUAUAUAGGAUAUAUAGGAUAUAUAGGAUCCUGGAUAAGGAGCUUCUUUGGUCUCUCCCCUUGGACUUAGGACAUUUCUCUUUCCUGGCACAUCAAAGUGUUCACCAACUAGGAAGCUCCUUGGGCUCUGGGUUUCUAGAGAUUCAUUGGAAUUUUAUCAUUAUCCACUUGGUUAAGUUCUGUUUUCAGCCCUCCUCCUCUCUGGACGUCUAAGUGGUAGGACUGAAAGUUCCAACCUUCUAGGAAUUCCCUUUGUGGCUCAGCAGAAAUAAAUCUGACUAGCAUGCAUGAGGACACAGGUUUGCUCCUGGGCCUCGCUCAGUGGGUUAAGGAUCCGGUGUUAAUGUGAGCUGUGGUGUAGGUUGCAGACGCGGCUCAGAUCUGGCACUUCUGUGGCUGUGGCUAUGCUGGCGGCUACUGCUCUGAUUCGACCCCUAGCCUGGGAACCUUCAUAUGCUGUGAGUAUGGCCUUAAAAUUUUUGAAAAAAGGAAAAAGAAAAAA
rnacentral:lncRNA from 1 species